UACAGAGGGGGCAAGCGUUGUUCGGAAUUACUGGGCGUAAAGGGCGCGUAGGCGGCCUUCUAAGUCGAACGUGAAAUCCCCGGGCUCAACCCGGGAACUGCGUCCGAUACUGGAAGGCUUGAAUCCGGGAGAGGGAUGCGGAAUUCCAGGUGUAGCGGUGAAAUGCGUAGAUAUCGAGAGGAACACCUGCGGCGAAGGCGGGUUGCUGGGCUGACACUGACGCUGAGGCGCGAAAGCCAGGGGAGCGAACGGG
rnacentral:rRNA from 1 species